rnacentral:rRNA from 1 species
UGGGGGAUAUUGCACAAUGGGCGAAAGCCUGAUGCAGCGACGCCGCGUGGGGGAUGAAGGCCUUCGGGUUGUAAACUUCUUUUGCUCUGAACAAGGCAUGCCUUUGGGGUGUGUUGAGUGUAGGGGUUGAUUAGCGCCGGCUAACUACGUGCCAGCAGCCGCGGUAAUACGUAGGGCGCGAGCGUUGUCCGGAAUUAUUGGGCGUAAAGGGCUUGUAGGUGGCUGGUUGCGUCUGUCGUGAAAGCUCAUGGCUUAACUGUGGGUUUGCGGUGGGUACGGGCUGGCGUGAGUGCAGUAGGGGAGGCUGGAAUUCCUGGUGUAGCGGUGGAAUGCGCAGAUAUCAGGGGGAAUACCGGUGGCGAAGGCGGGUCUCUGGGCUGUUACUGACGCUGAGGAGCGAAAGCGUGGGGAGCGAACAGG